rnacentral:rRNA from 1 species
UACGUAGGGUGCGAGCGUUAAUCGGAAUUACUGGGCGUAAAGCGUGCGCAGGCGGCUAUUUAAGCUUGCUGUGAAAGCCCCGGGCUUAACCUGGGAAUGGCAGUGAGGACUGGAUGGCUGGAGUGUGGCAGAGGGGGGUGGAAUUCCACGUGUAGCAGGUGAAAUGCGUAGAGAUGUGGAGGAACACCGAUGGCGAAGGCAGCCCCCUGGGCUAACACUGACGCCUCAGGCACGAAAGCGUGGGGAGCAAACAGG